rnacentral:miRNA from 1 species
UGUGUAUGUGUAUGUGUGUGUGUGUAUGUGUAUGUGUAUGUGUGUGCAUGUGUAUGUGUGUGCAUGUGUAUGUGUAUGUGUGUGCAUGUGUAUGUGUGUACGUGUGUGUAUGUGU